rnacentral:rRNA from 1 species
GACGUAGGGGGCCAGCGUUGCUCGGAAUUACUGGGCGUAAAGGGUUCGUAGGCGGUGUGGCAAGUCGGUAGUGAAAUCUCCAGGCUUAACUUGGAGGCUGCUGCCGAAACUGCCGUGCUAGAGUGCAGGAGAGGCGAGUGGAAUUACAGGUGUAGCGGUGAAAUGCGUAGGUAUCUGUAGGAACACCCGUGGCGAAGGCGGCUCGCUGGACCAUAACUGACGCUGAGGCGCGAAAGCUAGGGGAGCAAACAGG